rnacentral:rRNA from 1 species
AGCAGCCGCGGUAAUUCCAGCUCCAAUAGCGUAUAUUAAAGUUGUUGCAGUUAAAAAGCUCGUAGUUGAAUUUCGGGAUUAGUACGCUGGUCAUGCCUUUGGUAUGUACUGGUGUUACUGGUUUCUACCUUCUGAAGAACCGUUAUGUCAUUUAUUUGGUGUGGCGGGAAAUCAGGACUGUUACUUUGAAAAAAUUAGAGUGUUUAAAGCAGGCUCGCGCUUGAAUACAUUAGCAUGGAAUAAUGAAAUAGGACGUUUGACCCUAUUUUGUUGGUUUCUAGGAUCGACGUAAUGAUUAAUAGGGAUAGUUGGGGGCAUUAGUAUUCAAUUGUCAGAGGUGAAAUUCUUGGAUUUAUUGAAGACUAACUACUGCGAAAGCAUUUGCCAAGGAUGUUUUCAUUAAUCAAGAACGAAAGUUAGGGGAUCGAAGACGAUCAGAUACCGUCGUAGUCUUAACCAUAAACUAUGCCGACUAGGGAUCGGAUGAUGUUAUUUUUAUGACUCAUUCGGCGCCUUACGG